UUAUGGACAUGCCAACUAUAGAGUCAAACUCUUUUGAUGGUGGGGUUCUGUGCAGAACCCCACUGUUAACUCUGCCGCCUGUAGCAGAAGCAUGCAGAUGCUUCUGUUGUUUAGACGAUGGUAUAGAUUUUGACUGAGUCAAAGGUUUCAAAGGGUGAGAAACCAAAGGGCGUGCCAUCGUCACAGUUUUUUGCUCUUGUGUGAUAAGGCCGGGGAGAGUCGCUGAAGUGGCGGCCGGUUUUGUCUCCUUUUGGCGGUUGACCGCCGUUGUCCAUUUCCUCCGACUGGCUUUUUGUUCACCGGAUGUCGCAUGUUUGUUUAUCGAGUUUGCAUUUUCUUCAACUACCUGAAUCUCAUCCCAUGAUGUUUCGGAUGUCGCGGGGACGGUUGUAAGGUCAACGGGGACCGUUUUCUUUGGUGGUUUCUUGAACAAUCUCCACUUAGAGCUCCAACAACGCCGCCGGCUGCCUGAGUUGACUUCAUCUUUGGGCCAUGUCUUCUCGCCGAAACAGCCAAAACAACCGAGAAAGUGGCUUCUUCGGGUGGAGGUCGACGGUGGUCCGGUGGUGGUAGUCCGAUAUGGCAGGCUGCAUAGGUCGUGUGUCUUGAAUAUUGAUAGCUUGUACAAGCCAUAUUGUUUUUAUAUAUAUUAGCUUACAUCUAACAUAUAAUAAGUUAAAUUGCCAUUUGGUAUUAACUAGUUGUAAUCUUGUUCUUAUUAUAAGUCAAUUU
rnacentral:lncRNA from 1 species